rnacentral:rRNA from 1 species
GAUUUCUGCCUUGGCGCACCUGGCCCGCCACGGUUACGUGUGUGAGUGCCGGGAUGCGCCUGUCACUUUUCUAGUAAACCAUUGUGUUCUUCAUUGGAUGCGAUGGGUAGCUAGAUAUUUUACUUUGAAAAAAUUAGAGUGUUUCAAGCAGGCUUUAUGCUAUGAAUACAUUAGCAUGGAAUAAUAAUUUAGGACUUCGGUUCUAUUUUGUUGGUUUCUAGGACUGAAGUAAUGAUUGAUAGGGAUAGUUGGGGGUGCUAGUAUUCAGCGGCCAGAGGUGAAAUUCUCGGAUUCGCUGAAGACUAACUUAUGCGAAAGCAUU